AUGACCGUGCGAAGAUACUCCAUUUCGUCAAACUCUGAGAAUGAGAUUUUGCACAAGCCGAGACGAUAUGAGGAGACUGUGAACAACAGCAAAUGGGCAAAACUACAUGAUGGUUCACACAGCCGUCCUUCUAGUGCCUAUUCUAAACCAGAGAUGGAGAAGUUAACCAACAGACAUUCCCUUCAGGAGUACGUCAACAAAAACAGAGCCAAAGUCAAGACGGUAACUUUCCUGUUGCCGGUGGAUGAUAUUUACACAAAUAGACCUGUACUGGCUGAACACCUGUCGGAAAGAAGCACAUGUGAACUCCAAACAAUAGCAGAAACAGACUCGUGAAGCCCAAACUAAUGGCGGGAAAAACCGAAACACCCACAAAACUGAGGCUUGCGAAGCUGACAAAGAGGAAGUGCAGUAUUGCGGUCAAUGCAUCCUGCGGUGAAUUAAUACCCACACCUGACCUCAAUGCUUUGACUCCUGUUACAGAUUUGGUUUCUCAAAUUCAUCCAGCUAAAGAAACUCAAGUCAUCCCAUGGUCUCAUCCGAUGACCUGUCAGUCCCACUCUGUCGUUUGGAUCGGGUGUCUGCUGUGAAGAACCGCUCACUAUACUGAGUUUGGUGCAAUUGUUAGUUCUUUGAAUGAUGAACAAUAUUUACAACAAUUUGUUUUCCACAAAAUCUCCCACUAUUUUAUUCAGCGUUAGCAUGUUCAACUUUAACAUAACAGUUUACUUAAAACCAUGUUUAAAAUUAAUGGUUCUCCCAAAAAUGGAAAUUAAAAGUCUUUUAUAUUUAAUCAUUCUCAAGUUGUACCAAAGCAAAGGAAGAUAUUUUGAAGAAUGUUGGUAACCAGACAGUUAACGAUAACUUUGACUUCCACAGUAUCUUCUUCCCCAAACUACAGAAGUCAGUGGCUCAACUGUUUGAUUAACAAUAUCUUUCUAAAAUAUCUUCUUUUGUGUUCACCAUAAGAAAAUAGAAAUUUGUUCAGGCUGAGUAAUUGAUGAUAGAAUUUUAAUUUUUGGGUGAAAUAUCCCUCUAAAUAAAAGAGUUAUUUAAUCAUGUUAAAAUGUAUUAAAGCAGUGACACUUUUGCUACAAGGAAGAGAAGGCCAAAGGAAGGUUUAUACAUUAUUAUUAUUACUAUUAUUUAGUUAAGAUAAGGAAAAAUCAGCUGUGACAGUCCAAAGGCUCCUUUAUUACACUCCUGAAAUCAAUUAUUGCUCAGGGGUUUACAUCUCUUUUAGAUUUCACUUCUGUUUAACCCAAAGGUAAAACAAAGCCACUUAUUAGUGAAAUUAAUAAAGAGAAAAUAUUCAUACCUAAAGCCUAAAAACAGAAAUAUUUAUCUCAUAGACUAUUUGAGGUGUAGAAAACACUUCAAUAAUAAUUUAGUAUAUGACCAUGAACUUGUCUCUGACAUACAUUUUCCAUAUUAACAGCUUAUGUCAUUAUAUUAGACUCUGUAGAGUAUUGGAAACAUCUGGGCUCCAGAAACGGGUCAGAAUAACAAGCAGAACCUAGUGUGAACAUGUUUGCUGGGUUUAUCAGCUGAAGGUUUCUUAUUCUCUGUCUUGUUGUGUGUGUUGUCCUUCGUGAGCUCCGAGGGCUCGUCCUCACUGUAAAGACUCCCGUAACUCUCAGAAUCUCGUGGCUUACCUAUUAGCGAAUAAAGUAGUCAAAGUGAAAAAGCAAUGUCAGUGCACCCUUUUGUUAUCAAUAAAACUUACUUUUUUUAAAACCGUUGUAUUAAAUAGUGUUAUUUCUACUGUACUGUAUGGUGAUACCUGUUAUAGUGCUAUGCUCAGGUUCAGUAAAUCGUGUGGGAGGUUUGCUCUCUGUUGGACUAUCUCCAUAUUUCAUUGGUACCAUUGGAAAACUGUCUGCUUUCUGCAGUCUCUGGGUAGCUUUGAGGGAGAGAUAGAUGAGGAAGAAAACAGAGGACAAUAACAAAUAGAAAAUCAUAACAUCAUUUAUGUUUUAUGUACGCAAUAUUUUUUAAUAAUAAAAUGAAUCUAAAAUUAUUCUGUCAAUCUAAAAAUGUUGACAGAAAGCAUUUACAGAACAUACUGUAUAUUUGUAACAAAACGGGUCAUACAAAUGUGCCACUUGUUUUUCUCAACAAAGGGUCUGUGAAAGCAGGUACUUGACAGAAAUGGGGUUAAACUAAAUAUUAUGUGCUUUUUUAUGUUUAUUUUAUUUUAAAGGGACAAUUCACCCAAAAUUUUAAACAAAAAGAUAUUUUGAAGAAUGUAGGUAACCAAACAAUUGCAGUUGCAGAUUUUUUCAUGCAAUGGAAGUCAGUGGGGACCAGCAAAUGUUUGUUUACCAACAUAUUUUCCAAAUAUCUUAUUUUGUGUUCAGCAGAGAAAAGAAAUUCAAACAGGUUUGGAACAACUUAAGGGUGAGUUGAUUUUUGGAUGAACUAUCGCUUUAACUUUGCAACCCUGAUACCAAAUCUUGAAUGCAGGUUACCCUGAUGUACAGUGAUGUGAUUCAAACUAGUUACUGUUAAUACUGUUAUAAAUAAUAAUAUACAGUGGUGGCCAAAAUUAUUAAAGCACUUGGCAGAAUUUAAGAGGUUCCAGUUGGUUUUGUUGUACGUAUUGGCUAUUACAGCAUAAAACAAACUAUUCCUGGAACUACCUUUGAUGAAAGCAAUCUGCUGGAACAUUGAAAGUGAUGGGCUGGCCCCCACAAAGUCUGGACCUCAACCCCAUCGAGCAAAUUUGUGGCGAGUUGGAAAAUAAACUGGAAAGAUCUUUUGUACUUUGAAAGAAAAGCCUUUGGCCUUAGUUGCAGAAGGCAUGGGAUAAUAUUAGUGUUGAAGGAAAUGCACUGACACUAUGCCAGAAAGAUGAGCUGCGGUGAUUGCUGUAAAACAGUGGACAUUCCAAAUAUUAAAGUUAAAAGUGUAUAAACAGUACAACUCACUUCAUCUGAUAUUUGUUGUGCUCAGAGCAACCAUCUGUAUGUUUCAUGAACAUUAUGAAAUGGAACCAUGUUUUGGAGGCAAAAAGGGUAAGUGUUUUCAGAUCUGUCAUGUGUUCCAAUACAUAAAAUAAUCAGAUAUAUUUAAUACAACAUAAAAUAGUUUAUCUAACAUAUAAAGUUCUCCCACUAAAUUAUGGGAUUUCUGUCCUCAUUAAAGCCCAAAGUAUAUUUUGUUUUUGUUACACUUGUGUACUGUGUUUACUUUGAUAAAACAGCUUGGACCAGUGCUGCCACCUUGUAGAACAACUGAUUAGUGCAAAACUAAGCCAAUGUGCAUGUGUGGUCUGUGCAUACAAAGAAUGCGUAGUUAAAAAAAUCAGGUGGUGCACGUACAAUACCCACAAAAUAGUCUUGUGACAAAUUCUGUGUGCACCCUCGCACAAAAACGAAAGUAUACUUUGGGCUUAAAGGGUUAGAUAGUGUAACAUAUUUUUUUAAGAAAAAUGCAUUGAUUCGCAACAGGAGGCCUUUCUUCACCCCCCGGAGCCGUGAUAGCGACUUUUUUUAAUGGAUGGGCGCUUUUUUUUCUUUUUAUUUCACUUCUUUUGGACUGAAGCAAUGCAACACCUGCUGACUGCAAUAAUAGAGAUUGAAAGAUCAAAGACAAUUUUUAAUAUAACUCUUACUGGAUUGGUCUGAAAAAAGGAAGUCAAAUACACCUCUGGGGUGAAUAAAACACAUCCUUAUUUUCAUUUUUGGAUGAACUAACACUUUAACCCUUAUGCGUUGUUGGGGACAUUUUCGUCAACUAGGGGGUAAAGUUGAGUCUUAUUUUGGCCACAGCUCUGUUUUAGCAAAUUGAAUGAUUUUUGGUGAC
rnacentral:lncRNA from 1 species